UAUUAAUAAUGCUUAGAAAUAGUGAAUUAUGCUAUUCAUAUCUUUGACUUAUCAUACCAAAUUUAUUUGUUUUUUUCUUUGUGAGGAUGACAUGUUUUGGUCCUAUUAUUACGAGGAUAGUAUUCGAAAGAUACUCUUUGAGGGGAUUUAUCUAUCUCUCUCAAGACUUAUAUAUUUGCAUCCAAUAUCCUCAUUCACUUUCCACACACACAUAUAUAUGUUCUAGCUUCUAUUAUAUUUGUUCUAAGAAAUAUCAAUUAUAUGGCUUAUUUUAAGAAGGUUAUAUUGAACCUGGCUUUGCUGUUUGUGAUUAUGUUGUCAAUGAAAGUGGCAAAAACGGCAAGCGUACCCCUAUGGGAAAUUGAGCCUCAACACAAAACUUAUGGACGGCUACGUUAUACUAUUCAUGAUCAACCACACAAGCACAACUUUAGUCCUCCUCCUCCUCCACGUCGAACUCCCCCUCCUCCUCCUCCUCCUUAUAUAUUUUGAUGAUGAUCCAAAACACUGGAGUAAUCGCGAUGGCAAAAAAACAAGUUCGAAACAAUUAAAAAGGGAAUAAAAGAAAAGGUUCAAACAUUAUGAUCCAUAGAUGACUGUGAUAUAGGUUUGAGUACCUUGUACUUCAUUUACAUACUUAUGUUGUAUAAAAAUGCAUGUGUUGCCGGAAACAACAAAUGUUGUAGUGAUAUAUAAGUUAUUUUGUUUAAAUAUAUUUUGACCUUUUAUUUUCUCUAA